rnacentral:ncRNA from 1 species
UGGGAUGCAUCACUCCUGAGCUUAGUGGACGUGAUCUUUGAAUAUUAACCAGCCUUCUUGGGCCCCUCUUCCCUCCAUGCCAUGGCUUCAUGCCAUCACAGAAUCAUAGAAUCAGACCAUGAAAGCGGAGCCUCACGAUCCUUCUGCUUUUUGGGUUUUAAGCAGGAGGUGUCAGAAGAGUUACCACAGGGAUAACUGCCUUGUGGCGGCCAAGCAUUCAUAGUGACGCGCUUUUUGAUCCUUCGAUGUCAGCUCUUCCUAUCAUUGUGAAGCAGAAUUCACCAACUGUUGGAUUGUUCACCCAAUAAUAGAGAACGUGAGCGGGGCUUAGACUGUCGUGAGACAGGUUAGUUUUACCCUACUGAUGAGGGGUUGUUGCAAUAGAAACCCUGCAACCGCAGGUUCAGACCCCUGGUGCGUGCGCUUGGCUGAGGAGCCACUGGUGCGAGGCUACCGUCUGCGGGCUUAUGACUGAACGCCUCUAAGUCAGAAUCCCGCCUAGACGUAGCGAUACCGCAGCGU